rnacentral:lncRNA from 1 species
AUUGUAGCUGAACACUAAACAGGGCAAGAAGAAAGAUUAUCAGCAAUUGCAACAUUGACACAUCGAACAAAGGCCUCAUUGCUCUCGGACUCCACCUCAAGGAAAUCGAGCUAGGUCUCCUGUGGGACAACACCGAUCUAGAACCUCUUCAUGGAAGUUUCACUAUUUCACUCCAUUAAACACCUCCGUACUCAGAUACUGAUAGAGAUAGAAUGCCAAGAAGAGCUCCCC